GGCAACCCUGACGGAGCAACGCCGCGUGGGGGAGGAAUGUCUGUGGAUUGUAAACCCCUUUUCUCAGGGAAGAAGUUCUGACGGUACCUGAGGAAUCAGCAUCGGCUAACUCCGUGCCAGCAGCCGCGGUAAGACGGAGGAUGCAAGCGUUAUCCGGAAUUAUUGGGCGUAAAGCGUCCGCAGGUGGUGAGUCAAGUCUGCUGUCAAAGCCAGGAGCUCAACUCCUGUCCGGCAGUGGAAACUGACCCACUCGAGGGUGGUAGGGGUAGAGGGAAUUCCCAGUGUAGCGGUGAAAUGCGUAGAGAUUGGGAAGAACACCGGUGGCGAAAGCGCUCUACUGGACCACACCUGACACUCAGAGGACGAAAGCUAGGGGAGCG
rnacentral:rRNA from 1 species